GCGCCGAUGGUUUAGUGGUAAAAUCCAUCGUUGCCAUCGAUGGGCCCCCGGUUUCGAUUCCGGGUCGGCCGCA
rnacentral:tRNA from 1 species